rnacentral:tRNA from 1 species
GGAGAGGUGGCCGAGUGGUUGAAGGCGCACGCCUGGAACGCGUGUAAUCGGGAAACCGGUUCGUGGGUUCGAAUCCCACCCUCUCCG